CACGUAGUUAGCCGGCGCUUCUUAUCCAGCUACCGUCAACCCACCCACAAAAGGGACAGGCCUGCUUCACUGGCGAAAGAGGUUCACAACCCGAAGGCCUCCAUCCCUCACGCGGCGUCGCUGCAUCAGGCUUGCGCCCAUUGUGCAAUAUUCCCCCACCGCUGCCUCCCGUAGGAGUCUGGGCCGUGUCUCAGUCCCAGUGUGACCGUCCACCCUCUCAGGCCCGGCUACCCGUCACCGCCUUGGUAGGCCAUCACCCCACCAACAAGCUGAUAGGCCGCGAGCCCAUCCCCCACCGAAACACCAAAGGCACAAUCUUCCCACACCCACCAUGCAGCAGGCACAGAAUAUCCCGUAUUACGCCACACUUUCAUGCGGUUAUCCAGAAGAAGGGGCAGGUACUCACGUGUACUCACCCGUUCGCCACUCAUCCAGGACCCACAAAAGCAGCCCCUUCACCGUUCGACUGC
rnacentral:rRNA from 1 species